rnacentral:rRNA from 1 species
UGAACCAGCCAAGUAGCGUGAAGGAUGACUGCCCUAUGGGUUGUAAACUUCUUUUAUAAAGGAAUAAAGUCGGGUAUGGAUACCCGUUUGCAUGUACUUUAUGAAUAAGGAUCGGCUAACUCCGUGCCAGCAGCCGCGGUAAUACGGAGGAUCCGAGCGUUAUCCGGAUUUAUUGGGUUUAAAGGGAGCGUAGAUGGAUGUUUAAGUCAGUUGUGAAAGUUUGCGGCUCAACCGUAAAAUUGCAGUUGAUACUGGAUAUCUUGAGUGCAGUUGAGGCAGGCGGAAUUCGUGGUGUAGCGGUGAAAUGCUUAGAUAUCACGAAGAACUCCGAUUGCGAAGGCAGCCUGCUAAGCUGCAACUGACAUUGAGGCUCGAAAGUGUGGGUAUCAAACAGGAUUAGAUACCCUGGUAGUCCACACGGUAAACGAUGAAUACUCGCUGUUUGCGAUAUACUGCAAGCGGCCAAGCGAAAGCGUUAAGUAUUCCACCUGGGGAGUACGCCGGCAACGGUGAAACUCAAAGGAAUUGACGGGGGCCCGCACAAGCGGAGGAACAUGUGGUUUAAUUCGAUGAUACGCGAGGAACCUUACCCGGGCUUAAAUUGCAGAUGAAUUACGGUGAAAGCCGUAAGCCGCAAGGCAUCUGUGAAGGUGCUGCAUGGUUGUCGUCAGCUCGUGCC